AGUUACCAACACGUAAUGGUGGGGACUCUGGCGGAACUGCCGGUGACAAACCGGAGGAAGUGGGGAUGACGUCAAGUCCUCAUGGCCCUUAUGUCCAGGGCUACACACGUGCUACAAUGGUCGGUACAAAGUGACGCGAAGCCGCGAGGUGAAGCAAAUCGCAGAAAGCCGGCCUUAGUUCGGAUUGGAGUCUGAAACUCGACUCCAUGAAGGUGGAAUCGCUAGUAAUCGCGCAUCAGCAUGGCGCGGUGAAUACGUUCCCGGGCCUU
rnacentral:rRNA from 1 species